rnacentral:rRNA from 1 species
UACGUAGGGGGCAAGCGUUGUCCGGAAUCAUUGGGCGUAAAGCGCGUGUAGGCGGUUCAGUAAGUCUGCUGUGAAAGUCCAGGGCUCAACCCUGGGAUGCCGGUGGAUACAGCUGGGCUAGAGUACGGAAGAGGCGAGUGGAAUUCCCGGUGUAGCGGUGAAAUGCGCAGAUAUCGGGAGGAACACCAAUUGCGAAGGCAGCUCGCUGGGACGUUACUGACGCUGAGACGCGAAAGCGUGGGGAGCAAACAGG